UGGUGUCCAACACUGGAUCGGGCAC
rnacentral:piRNA from 1 species